ACAAGAGUUUUCAAUAAACUUGCCUUUUGCCACCAGAGCAACUGGUCGCUCUCUCUUUUCAGUCCGUCACUGCGCGUCUCGAACCCACUGCCUCGCUGGCCGCGGCAGUGGGAGACAGCUGCCAAGGACCAAUAGCAGGUGGUCUGUUCCCUCAAGGAGCCCAGCAUCCAGAACAAAGGAGAGGUCGGGAGAAAUGAGACCCACCAGAGGAGAAGGGGAUGUGAAGAUGGAGACAAAGUUUGGAGCGCUGCGGCCACCAGAAACUGGAAGAACAAGGCUCAAAUGCACAGCACAAAGCUGGUGCUCCUGUUUUGAAGAUGACAACAACAGGCCUAACAAGAUGGAAGGAACCCUGGGUCCCUCAAUUACUUCAUGAAGCAGAACAACCUACACACACUAAAUUGCCAAUGAAUUCUCAGCUGAUAUAUGUGGAAAACAUAAAAUUUUAUCUCAUGUGAACCACUGUACUUUCAAGUCUCUUUAUUAGAGUAACUUAGCCUGUAUGCUAAUUAAUAUAUUUUCCAAAUAAACAGGAUUUGUUGAGAGCA